rnacentral:misc_RNA from 1 species
UUUAAAUAAAAAAUUCUUUCCUUUUCCAUCUAAUUUCCUCUAAACAUUAAUAUAGAAUAUCAAAUAUUUUCUUAGUUAAGAUAUUUUUUUUAAGAUACAUAUUUAGAAAAUUAAAUAAGCAUUGAUAUGGAAAUGAAUACUCAUUAGCAGACCAGAAUGAGGCGGUACACAGAGCCUCUAUGUUCUAUCUAUAAAAGGGAAACGAUGUUGCAUUAUCGCUCUCAUUGCCGUCUCUUCUGCCAUAAACAUCGAUUUGUCCGGCUUAGUUUUGCGUGCCUUUCUGCGACGCUCUUCCGCGUCUCAUUUCUGACAACAUCAUCGUUCGCUUCAAAAUUUCCUCUUCUUCCUGCACCGGCUCUUAACAUCUCCUCCAUGUCGUCAACCACCCCGAUGAAGUCGCCGCCGGUCGCCAAGAAGGUGGACCAUGUGAUGGAGUUGUUUCGAGAUGUCAGAGUGGACCACCACUACUGGCUCCGCGAUGACUCUCGCUCCAAUCCUGAGAUCCUUUCCCACCUCCAAGAGGAGAAUGCCUACACCGACUCCUUCAUGUCUGGAACAAAACAAUUUGAGCAGCAGCUUUUCGCUGAAAUAAGAGGGCGAAUCAAGGAGGAUGAUAUAUCUGCACCAAGAAGAAAAGGGCCUUACUAUUACUAUACAAGGACUUUGGAAGGGAAGGAGUAUGUUCAGCAUUGCCGUCGCUAUACAUCUAAUAACGAAGUCCCACCUUCAGUCUAUGAUGUAAUGCCAACCGGACCUAAUGAUCCUCCCGAGCAUGUUAUACUGGAUGAGAAUGUCAAGGCUCAAGGGCAUGAAUAUUACAGCAUUGGUGCUUUCAAGGUUAGUCCAAAUCAUAAACUGGUUGCAUAUGCAGAAGACACCAAGGGAGAUGAAAUUUACACUGUUUAUGUCAUUGAUGUGGAGACUCAAGCUCCUGUUGGGAAGCCUCUGACAGGUGUAACAUCUUCUCUUGAGUGGGCUGGCAAUGAUUUUUUGGUUUACAUCACAAUGGAUGAGAUACAUCGGGCUGACAAGGUGUGGUUGCAUAAGUUGGGGACAGAUCAAUCAAGUGACUCUUGCCUUUAUCAUGAGAAAGAUGAUAAAUUUGGUUUGGAUCUUCAAGCUUCAGAGAGUGAAAAGUAUUUGUUCGUUGUAUCUGACAGCCGAAAUACAAGGUUUGUCUUCUAUAUUGAUGUUUCCAUGCCUGAAGAUGGUGCCAAGUUUUUGACACCUCGUGUAGAUGGCAUUGAUACAUCAGUCAGCCAUCGUGGAAAUCAUUUCUUUGUUCGGAGGAGAACUGAUGAGCUUUUCAAUUCAGAGCUCCUAGCCUGUCCAGUGGACAACAUUUCUGCAACUACAGUUCUUAUUCCUCACAGGGAAAGUAUAAAAAUUUGGGAUGUACAACUCUUUGCUGACCAUCUGGCUGUGUAUGAGCGUGAAAAUGGUCUACCCAAAAUAACAGCAUAUCGCCUUCCAGCUAUUGAUGAGCCACUUACAAGUCUUAAAGGAGGUCGGGCUGUUGACUUCGUUGACCCUGUAUAUUGUGUGGAUUCAGAAGAAUCCGAGUUUUCUUCCAGCAUUUUGAGGUUUUCAUAUAGCUCAUUGAGGACACCUCGUUCUGUGUAUGAAUAUGAUAUGAAUACAGGCACUUCUGUUCUGAAGAAGGUUGACAUAGUCUUGGGAGGUUUUGAUUCAUCUAAUUAUGUUACUGAAAGAAAAUGGGCCACAGCUUCAGAUGGGACCCAGAUUCCUUUGUCAAUUGUUUACAGGAAGGAUCUUGUGAAACUUGAUGGUUCUCAUCCAUUACUGCUUUAUGGAUAUGGUUCAUAUGAGAUGAGCAUAGAUCCCACAUUCAAGGCAUCAAGGCUGUCUUUAUUGGAUCGUAGCUUUAUCUUCGCAAUAGCUCACGUUCGUGGAGGUGGUGAAAUGGGGAGGCAGUGGUACGAGAAUGGAAAGUUGUUGAAGAAAAAAAAUACUUUCACAGAUUUCAUUGCCUGUGCAGAGUAUUUAAUAGAACAGAAGUACUGUUCAAAGGAAAAAUUGUGCAUUGAAGGAAGGAGUGCAGGGGGAUUGCUUAUUGGUUCUGUUCUUAAUAUGAGGCCUGAUUUGUUCAAGGCUGCUAUUGCUGGGGUACCUUUUGUGGAUGUUCUGACUACUAUGCUUGAUCCAAGUAUCCCUCUUACAACUGAAGAGUGGGAGGAAUGGGGAGACCCUCAGAAGGAGGAGUUCUACUUCUACAUGAAAUCAUAUUCCCCGGUUGAUAAUGUUAAUCCUCAAAAUUAUCCCCACAUCCUCGUUACAGCUGGCUUACAUGAUCCACGGGUUAUGUAUUCAGAACCUGCAAAAUUUGUGGCAAAGCUGAGGGAUAUGAAGACUGAUCAUAAUGUGCUGUUGUUCAAGUGUGAACUCGGCGCUGGGCAUUUUUCAAAGUCAGGAAGGUAUAUUGUCAUUUGUUUACAUUUUAAAGGCCUAUUGGAUGAGAAAGUCCUAACGUUUGUGCGAAUUCAUGCUUAUAGCCAAAAUUUUUAAUUGUGGGCAAUAAAGCAGAACAUUUCUAAUUAGGUGAAAUUUUACCCAAAGAGCUAAAUUGAAUUUGGGAAAAUUAAUGGUAAUUUAUUAUAUAGUCCCCAAGAUUUUGUUAAAUCAAGGGUUUAUGUUGUUAAUAAAAUAAAAUCUCAGGAAUUAUAUUGUAAUUUAUUAUUAACUUUUCCAAAUUUAAUUUAGCCUUUUGGCAAAAAUUAUGCCUGAUUGGAAAUGUUCAACUUUGUUGUCUACAAUUAAAAGUUUUGGCUAUAAAUAUGAAUUCUUGCAUAGUUUGGACUUUUUGGUCUAAUAGGCUAUUUUAAAGCUAUUAGUUUUCCACUUUCCAAUUCGGAGGUUGUAUUUCUCCCCUCUUCUUUGCGUGUAUGUGCGCAUGCAUCAUCCAUGUGCACUGCCCAUUAAGAUAGGUUCUUGAAGUGUUUGCUAAAUGUGCAUUUGGUUGUGACUUGUGAAGUGACAACAAUAUAAAUAUUGCAGUAGUCAGAUCUGGGUCUUGGAAAUUUUGGCAUCUCAGGGAAAAGAGGAAGCUGCAAAGAUGAAAGAGUGUUUAAAUGAAACUGGUUGCAUUGUAUUUAUAUUAGUUUAAGCUUACAGUUUAUUUUCAGCUUGUCUCAGAAAUUUUUCUGAUUUAAUUGCUCCACUACCUUGGUCAACAAUGUUUUCUUGCUGUCCAAUUCUUUUGAAAGCACUUCAGAUGCCAUUGGUACAUACCCUUAAUGGCCUAUAUAGAUGAGGAAAAAAGGAGAAAGAAAUCUUUCUUCUUGCUAAUUGUAUACCAAAUCACAUUGCCUGCUGGACUUUCAGAUAGCCUAGAUGUAUCUGAGUUUUGCACCAUCUGUGGUUCACCUACCUGACCUUGCGUUGUUUCAGUCUUAAAUGUUUUCUGCCAUAACUUUUCAUGGUUUUAUAUCUGCUGGAUGAGGCAUACUCCUUACAGUACUUCUGACACAAGUCUCAGAAAAAUGCACCAUGUUGAGUGUUGAUAAGUUUAGUUAACUUUUUCGAAUGUUUGAAUUUGCAAGAAUGGAAGGAGCAACAGUACUGAAAAUGAUGAUACUGUACUUAUAAUGAUGCUAACACAUUUCCAAAGGUGAUAACUAUACUUGUGAUAUUAUCAGUUAACCCUGUUGCUGUUUGUUUGGUACUGAAAGAAUCGUGAUUUACAAAUGUACCAAUAAAAGUGAUGUUAACAUGAUUGCACUUUUUUUUUUUUCUGGGUUAUAUGUAUAUUAUUCAAAUAAAGCUCAAAGAAUUUAUAGAGAGCUUACACACUGUUUGCUUCAAAUCGUUAAGCACUUGCAGAUGUUCUUAAUCACUUAUGAUGCAACAAAUUUUUGCUUGCAGAUUUGAGAGGCUUAAAGAAGACGCAUUCACAUAUACAUUUCUGAUGAAGGUUCUUAACAUGAUUCCCGACCUUGGUGCUGGCCAAAAUUGAUGAAUAUGUGUAUAGGUAAUGCAAAUUCAGUAAUAGCCCAGCUUGGCGAACUAUAUAAGUAGCAUACCAUACAGUAGUUCUAGUGUAGAAGUGUUAUGGGUGCAUACCCGCAUAUAUUCCCAGUUUUUGUGUGGUAGUUGAAAUUGAAAGAGAUGCAUUACCAGUACUGAUAAAUUAAAAUGAUAGGAUUAGCACCUUCUGUCACCGUGUUGUCAGGCGUUAAUCUCAUGUUGAAUACUGUGAAGCUGCAUAUAAACAAGAAUUUAUGUGCAUAUUGCCGCUCUUUUCCACUUGAAGCAAGGAAUGGAGUAGCAUGUGCAAAAUAUGAUUCCAAAUUUUGACUCAUCUUAAAGCCAUUGCCGUGCAAGAAGAAAAGUAAGUUUAGUUCCAUAAGAAAUCCUCAAGUACGAAAUUACAGACUGCAACCUUCUCCAUGGUUUCCUUGGAAACGCAAAUUGGAUGUCAAGUGAAAAGAGAGAUUUUGCCGUCUCAGAAUAUCAAGUGAAAUUUCAUAUGACUUUUUAUAUGCGUACUAACAGAAGGAACUGGAAUUCGUACAAUGUGCAUUUGUGCUAUUAAGGCACUAGCAAAAGUUGUCUUUAUUUCACUAAAACGUAGAGACUAAAAAUACAAUACAUGGAUCAUGUGCACCUGCUUGAGUUGUUCCCUUAAUGUGUUAGAUGAUCAUCUCUUCUGUCAAUAAGAUAAGCUCAUUAUUUUACAAUCAUUAGAACCUCACCAGAAGGGAAGUUUAUGUUAACUUUGUAUGUGAUCAUUCCAAGAAGGAUCCACCAGAGGAAGUUGGUAUUCAUCAGGCUUUAGGGACAAAGCGAAAUCUGGCAAUGCAGGUGCAGUUUGCAGAAUCAUUUCAUUAUUGUAAGGAUCCUCAUUGCUUUGCAUCUUACUCGAUUUAUCUCUUGGAAUCUUCUCAGAGAGAAACUUGCUAGUUCCCCAUAGGGUUGGAUUUCGUGAAACCGGAGGGGUUAUAUGGAAGGAUUCACAGGCCUUGUUGCUUUCUUUACACAACACUUCUGCCGCUUGCUGAGCAGCUAUAGCAGUUUCUUUACAUGUCUCUGUGUUCCCCUCAUCAAGGAUUGAACCAUGAUAAUAGUAUGCAGCUGCCUUGGCUUCAGCAUAUUUCCACUGAAUAAAAAGUUUAUGCUUCUCUCCCCAUCCAUUUGUUAGUGGAAGACCUUCAAUGUUUUCUUGAGCCUGAUGCCAGUACUUUACCAUCUCACAUGCAAGCCUUCUUUUGACGGCCAUUGUGGCCUUGACACUAUCAAUUGCCAUUCCAAGCUGAACAUCAACACCCUGGCCAAGUGCUUGCAAGCAAAGGGCCUGAAGCACUCCCUCUGCAAGAUCUAGUGGUAAAUCUUUCCUGAGUUCUGGAGGAAACUGAGGGAGAACGUGCUGGAUAGAGAAAUUCAAAUAUCCUGCUGCCUUCAAGAAAAUAUCAAUACAAGCUCGUCUCCUUUCUUCUGAUAAUUUUGACAGAUGACCAUCAUUAGAUGUUAUAGGAAGAAGCAAUAAAUUGGCCUGUGAUAAUGAUAACAUGGCCAUCAAGUGCAAAACUGAUAGUACCUCAUACCAGGAGUUUGACAUGGUGGUCUCCUCUGCAGUGUCCUCCUGAUUUAGCCAGGAGAAUUGCAACUCAUGUUUUAGCUGGUUUCCAUUUUCCGCUAGCCCCAACAGGACUGGCAGGUAAUCUUCAAGAGCCUGCUGAAGAUCAGCCAUUGUCGAUCCUCCAUGCUGUGUUGCCGUUCUUCUUGGUUUUGUAGCCCUGGGUGCUUCUUGGCCUGCCAUGACUACAAUACGAGUUCUAAGAGCAGACAGCCUUUCAACCAAAUCCCUGGAUAAACCAUCACCAAAUGGCUGAGUGAAGUCAACUGGUUUAGGGAUCCUCAUCCCAGGAACAAAAACAGCAACCUCCCCAACAUUUCUUGGCCACCUUCCAUUUCCGCCAGAGUUCUUUUGUGUUGAUGCUAGGCACCCCAUAUGGUCAAAAUUCAGUUCCUCGAGUGAAAUAUUGAAAAGAAAUGAGGUGCAUUCAUGCGCCAAUUGCAACUUCAGAGAAGAUGCUUAAACAUGUAAUCCCAAUAAUAAAAUUGUACCAAAUUGACUGAACCAGGAUUCCUUGAUAAAAUUACUGUAAGAAAGAAACAAAAACCAAAAUUGAUUCUUUUCCAAUAAACAAUUGGAUCAAGUGGGAUGAAAACUGGAAGAUCUGCAUUCAUGUGAAGCAAUGGCAACUUUAGAGCACAAAAUCCCAAAAUUGCCUAAUUAUCAUCAAUAAUAUAGAAAAUCAUUGGAUUAAGGGAAUAAACCAUAAUGAUGACUAACUGAAUGCUGACAAAUACAAAGUGGGCAACUCACGAGCGCCCAUUAUAUUUCUAUAGACAUCCAAGAUACAUAAUCCCAAAGGAAUAUCGACCCAAAAUCCUUUCUCGGGUCUUUACCUUUGCGUGUUCUUAUUAGCUGAUGUGAAUACUAGUUUAGAAUUUUAGUAAACUUGCAAUUGAACCCUAAAUCAUUGCAUAUGUGAAUCAUGUCAUGGUUAUAUAUAUGCAUAUCCGAGAUAUUAUAAUACCCAUAUCCAUUUCUGGGACUUCUAACGUAUAAUAACACUAUAAACACAAUCAACCAGUGGGUUAGCAUGAAUAUAACUCACCCCCUUUUCUUAUCAAAGUUGUG